rnacentral:rRNA from 1 species
UACGGAGGGGGGUUAGCGUUGUUCGGAAUUACUGGGGCGUAAAAGCGCACGUAGGCGGAUCAGAAAGUUGGGGGGGGUGAAAUCCCGGGGGCUCAACCCCCGGAACUGCCUCCAAAACUCCUGGUCUUGAGUUCGAGAGAGGUGAGUGGAAUUCCGAGUGUAGAGGUGAAAUUCGUAGAUAUUCGGAGGAACACCAGUGGCGAAGGCGGCUCACUGGCUCGAUACUGACGCGUGAGGUG